rnacentral:rRNA from 1 species
UACGUAGGGGGCAAGCGUUGUCCGGAAUCAUUGGGCGUAAAGCGCGCGUAGGCGGCCCGGUAAGUCCGUUGUGAAAGUCAAAGGCUCAACCUUUGAACGCCGAUGGAUACUGCCGGGCUAGAGUCCGGAAGAGGCGAGUGGAAUUCCCGGUGUAGCGGUGAAAUGCGCAGAUAUCGGGAGGAACACCAAUGGCGAAGGCAGCUCGCUGGGACGGUACUGACGCUGAGGCGCGAAAGCGUGGGGAGCAAACAGG